CGAAACAACACCCAAGAGAACCAAAACCAAACACGCAAACAACGUUGAGGGCACACGACGAAGGGGACUGUGUGCUGCGAUUAGGCGAGGCGCUGAUUUCCACCACCUCCACAAACGCACCUCCACACGUUGUACGGACCUUCAGCGUCGUUAACCCACUCAGACCCACGCACGCACGCACGGCGUCCACGCGACACCCUCCGCCUCUCUCACCUCAGCAAGCUGUGCUGGUACGGGUGCCUUUUGACCGCGCGCCAUUUCCUUGCCCUCAACGCCGCUCCUCUCUUCACCGCUGCAUUGAAGGCGGCUCGGCAAGAUGAACGCCCUCUCAAGCCCUCGGGCUUCCAUCGGCAAGCACCGCGCCUUGCACAGCGCGGCUGCCGGCAAUGCGGCUCGAAAGCAGAGCAGCGGCGGACAAGCAGAGGUGAUUGCCGCGGUGCUGGGGCGGGAGUCGAACAAGCCAGCUGCCGAGGUCGUCGUGGAGCGCAUCCUAAAAGCUGCCGACCCGCACGUGAUGUCGGUACCGGUGUACUACGAUUAUAAGAAGGAUGCGCGCGUGUAUAAGUGCUUCCCCAGUACACGGCAGGUUUCGACCCUCUUCGCCAUGGACGGCAACACUAUCGCUAAAGACUCGCCUGAGGCGCUGCAGCAGGAGGAGGAUCGCCAUCGCCGCAUCCAGGAGGUGGAGGUGGCCGCCGCGGCGGAAACGAACCCGGACUUGGUCGAGGAAGGUGUGUCCACACGCAUUCUCAAGAACCAGUUCAACUAUAGCGACCGUGGCAGCCAGACAAUGAACCAGCCGAUGAAGGAGCGCACCGUCAUGACGGACCCGCCGCCGUCGGCCUCCUUUGGCGGGCUCGCGACGGCGUGGGCUAUCUACGACGCCUACGAGGGGGAGCGCAUCCAGGCCGAGAAGGCAGCCGCGGCGCAACGGCGUGCCGCCCAAGCCGCACGAACGAGCAAGGAUGAAGAGAACGCGCUCACCCAUGCCGCGGCCGAAGCGUCUAUCCGCGAUGGUGCGGAUGUCGGCCCGAAAGGCGUGGUGGAGCUGCUGGCGUCGCCGGAGUUUCGCAGCGCACUGCAGGUAAUGGAGCGCAUGGUGAACCAGAACGAUUGCCAGGAUAUCAUUGACGACUUCAAAUACUGGGAGGAUCAGAGCGAUCUUUACAAGGAGGACGGCACGCUGCUGCCCUUGUGGCGAUUCUUCACGGAGAAGACGCGCAAGAAGGCCGUUACUGCCAUUGCCCUCAACGGUCGCUACUCGGACCUCUUCGCAGUCGGCUACGGUAGCUACGACUUCUUGAAGCCGUGCAAGGGCACGGUUCACUGCUUCACUCUCAAGAACGCAGUGCCGACGGGCUCUGGCGCCCCCGUUCCGGCGCACCCGGAGUUCUCCUUUCACCUAGACUGCGGUGUGCUCUGUCUCGCUUUCCACCCACGUGAGCACUCGCUGCUUGCCUGCGGCCUCUAUGAUGGCAGCGUGUGCGUGUUCGACAUGCGGGUGAGCUCCCACGACACGGGGAGUGCGAACCACGGUCGCCCGCUCUACCGCGCCAACGUGCGUACUGGUAAGCACAUGGACCCUGUGUGGCAGAUCAUGUGGAUGGAGAGCACACCAGAGCUGUCCUUCUACUCCAUAAGCACAGAUGGCCGCGUGGCGAACUGGAUGCUGAGCAAGAGGGAGCUGACGUCGCGGGACGUGCUGAAGCUUAACACUGGCGUUUGCACCGUGGACCCGGAGCAGAUGCUGCUGAAUGAGCUCGGCGGCAUGUCGUUCGACUACUCACCCGCCCACGACAAGAUGGUCGUCGGCACGCAGGAGGGCAACCUGCUCCUGUGCACGGUCAGCCACAAUGGCCAGUGCGUCGAGCGCUAUGAGGGGCACAGCAUGGCGGUCUACACGACGCGCUGGAGCCCAUUCCACCCGGACAUCUUCCUCACCUGCUCGGCAGACUGGACUGUCAAGCUGUGGAUGAAGGGCUCUCCCUCUCCGUUGGUCGUGUUUGACCUCGGCGACGCCGUCGGCGAUGUCGCGUGGGCGCCGUACAGCUCCACCGUGUUCGCCGCCGUCACCGCGGGUGGCAAAGUGUGCGUAUUCGACGUAGCACAGAACAAGACGGAGCCCCUGUGCGCGCAGACAGUCGUGAAGAACGCGAAGCUGACUCACAUUGUCUUCAGUGAGGCGGACCCGAUACUGUUCGUCGGUGACACUCGCGGCACCGUUCUGACUCUCAAGCUGUCUCCUAACUUGCGUAAGGUGUCGAAACCCGGAAAGGGGGAGCCGACGGAUGCGGCGCACAUCAAGACGUUGGAGGUAGAGAAGCUGAACCACCUGGUAGAGGUCACCAUGAAGGACCGCGCGCUGUUGGGUGUGUAGAAGGAACACAAGGCGGGAUGCGUGCCGCCUCCUCCUGCACACAAGCGCGCUGCUCAGUUGCUCUUCCCUUUCUCUCUUAUGGGGCUCUCGCCGUGAUUGUUAGCGGGCCAGCACACGCAUGUGCCGGUGUCAGAAUUGGUGUAGGAGACCACGCGGCAGUUUCGUGUGGGCUGCGGAUGGACGUGUUUGUUUUCGCGUCGCGUUGUUUCUCCUCUGUUGCACCUCCGACGCGGCUGUUGCUCCUCGAUCCGCCCUCUGCGCCCCAUGGCACUUGGGUGUGAAAGGUGUGACUAUGGAGAUGUGCUACGGAGUUGGCUUUUGUUGUUGCUGUUGCUGUUUGUGUGUGUGUGCAUGUGCAUGUGCAUGCUUCUCCUCUCCCGUUCUCCCUCGAUGCGCGCUGUGUAGAUAGCUGGUGUUUUAGACUGCGCACCAGACGACACCCACAUACGGAGAGAACGGAGAGGACGGGGGGAGGCAGAGAGGUGCCAGAUAGAAGGGAUCGCUGCAUCCCGCUGUACAGGAGAGGAGCACGUGCACUCACAGGGAGACGUGAAUAAUGAUUGUGGUCGUGCAGCGGCGGGGAUCGGAAGGGAUGGAGGAGGGAGGAGAGGGCGCGGCAGGAGUAAAGGUAGAGGAGUGAGGGCGAAGCUCGGGGCGGGGCAUUGGGUCGCUCCACCUCCGCCCAACGUUUUUUCCUUCCACGCCCCUCUCUCGCCUGCAAAUCCACUGGGCACUGCCGAGUAACUCCCCACCUCUCUUGUCCGUCGCAGCUGCCUCCUUCCAUCGCCGACUCGCCCCUACGUCUUCCCUUGCCCAGCCUUCCUCUCUCUCUCCCCUUUCUUGCUCUGUUCUUUCAAUGCUUUCUUGCCUUCUCUGAUGUAACCAAGUACGAUGUACAGCGGACCUUUGCGUGUGGCCGUGGGUGUGGGUGUGUGGGGGCUUUCUAUGCGCGUGAAUGUUUUGUUCCUCUGCACAUCGCUCUACAUGUGUAUCUGUGUGUGUGUGUGUGCUUGCUUGCUUGCUUGCUUGGCUGCAGAUGUGGCACUGUGCCUCCCCUACGUCACCACUGACCUUUUG
rnacentral:misc_RNA from 1 species